GCUCAAUCAUUAACCAACUCAAGCUAGGGUUGGGCAAAAACUCACCUCAAGUGGAAAACCCUCUCCCAAUCCUCAAAUGGAAGGUAGAGGUCUCCCAAUCUAACCUAUUUAAAGGUUCCAAACCAUUCAAAUGAGAUCAAGAAACCUCAAAUCCAAAAACCCCCAAAAUAAACCCUAAAUCCCAAAAUCUAGGGUUUCAUCUAGUAAAACCUAGAAAUACAUGUAUUAAAUGGGGAUUAUA
rnacentral:lncRNA from 1 species